rnacentral:rRNA from 1 species
UACGUAGGGCGCAAGCGUUGUCCGGAAUUAUUGGGCGUAAAGCGCGUGUAGGCGGCUCGGUAAGUCUGCUCUGAAAGUCCAAGGCUCAACCUUGGGAUGCGGGUGGAUACUGCCGGGCUCGAGUCCGGAAGAGGCGAGUGGAAUUCCUGGUGUAGCGGUGAAAUGCGCAGAUAUCAGGAGGAACACCAAUGGCGAAGGCAGCUCGCUGGGACGUGACUGACGCUGAGACGCGAAAGCGUGGGGAGCAAACAGG